rnacentral:lncRNA from 1 species
UCAGCUGAAAAUCAAACUAAGAAAUAGGGAGAGAACACAAUACAUUUCGCUUCAUUCUUUUCAAGAUAACAGGUAUUAUUUACCCCCACAUAGAUACAAACAACAGAAAUACUUAAACAACACUGCAUCCUCGAGCAAAGCAAACUGGACAUCAUUAGGCUCACAGCAGAUUAAGCCAUGAAAAUCAGAAAGAGCAGCCCUUGUGUUCUUUCGCUAACUACAACAGACAAUUCCUCCGACUGGGCGCUCUUCUUCGCUUUAAGAUUGAUUGCUGACAUGCAUGCCUUUCAUAAUCUUUCCUUCGCUAACUGUAUGUUUCUAUAAGUUGAACGGCACAUAAAAGGGCAAGGCGUCUUAGUUUCCCCAAACAUUGUCCCAUGAGUUGUUGCCGGCUUUUGGUGCCUCAAAAAGCUGCUGGCCAGGUCCCUCGAAUGCAGGGGCCUCAGCACCCUGAACGCGGCCUUUCUUUGACUUUGUUCGGACUCCGAGCAGGCGUAAGACAAAUCUCGCAAGCUCACCGUAAAGCAUUCCAGACCGAUCAAAGAGCUGUGGCAAUCAGAUACAAACAAUGCAAGUACAGCUGUAAGCAUGCUAUUCAAACCCAAGACAAGCGAGGAGAACGUAAAAUAAUAGUACCUGCAACAUAGCAGUAAUGAAUAAAUAGAAGGCUUGUGUGUUUUGUUCAACGAGAAAUGCAACUCGCCCAAAGAAACUGACAGCACCAUGCAUCUGUAGCAAAUCCAGGAUUAGUUAUGAAGAAUUGUAUUCAAAAGAUUAAGCAAGUGUUAAACUGUCAAAGUAAUGGGGGAACUAUUAUAAUCCGGCUGUGUUUGAUAGCAAAGUAUUGAAAAACUACAGUAAUUUAACCUGUAGGUACAAAAAACCACGGUUUUGACAUAACAAAGUAUUUUGGAGUAUUCAGAAAACUGUAGACCUGUUUGGCAAGACCUUAUAUGCGUCAACUAAAGUUAACGAGCUAGCCGUUUGAAGCAGUUUGCAAACGCUCGCGUUGCUAGCUACCUAGACGUUGCAAGCUGAUGAACGAACAUGCACAGAGCACCGGCAUGCACAAACUAGUAUGACCACAGACUAAUUGAACGACGCACAAGCUCGAUGUCACACUCAUCAAGGAGGAGCAAUCGAACUUAGAACGUACUGACACAGAGCAAGGACCUGACGCUCUGCAACACGGCUAAGCCGGCGGCACAACACGCGAGGUGGAGCUGCGGGUUGACGGGAACGGCUUGGUCAUCCCGGCCAGGCCAGUCCAUCAUGCACACCGAGAAACGGGAACGAAAUCCCCGCACAGACCUUCGCUAUAUAAGAUCUAGUAACGGAGGGAACACAGAUUGGGCGGACACGACUUCAGGUAAAAUAGGAGGAAGCAGCGGGAGGAACCUUUUUGAUUUGUUAAUGGCCGCUGACCAAGACACCAUCCACACACAACAGGGCGGCGACGGCUGCUUAGGAUGGGCUCGUUCUUUUUGCGUGCUCGGUUUUAAAAAAAGAGGUCCAGGGUUGUUGGUGUUUUAUCCAGAGAAAAUGCCAUGGUUUGCGGAAUACCGUUGUAUUGAUAUUACAGUUUUUUGUGGUUGCCAAACAGCUCACAGUAAUUAAAACCGUGGUAAUCUAAAAAACUGUAGUAUUUUCAUAAUACAUAGAAAAUUCUGAGCGAUCAAACAGGGCCUUCAUGUGUUAUGAAUGACAUGUAACUUCACACAUGUCUAUCUAUAAACUUUGAUAUACUUGAUGAUAAGAUCUCUACUCCAAAAAACAAAUGUCAACAAGCAUGGCCAAAUGUUUAACAUUACCAUGAUGACACACUAGAAUGUAUAUUAACUAAAACCUACUUAACUACACAUAUCAAAAUAGAUACAACAUAGAAACUCACAACAGCCUGAGCUUCAGAGUAAAAUAAAGUGGACAACUGGAUGAAAAAAAAGUAUACAGAGAUUGCGUUGCUUUAGGCAGAAAAUGCUUGUAUCCAAACAUUUCAUAUUAGACAUUAAUGAACAUUCAGAAGUUAUGGCAUGCUUCAAUGUGCACUAGACGGCUGGACCAAUUGAAACAGAACACAAUCAUGAUCAAUGAAAAAGUAGGAGAAGUAUUAUACCACGCGUAGGAAGGACACCCAGAAACCCGGUGGUGCUGCGGGAGGGCCAAAUGAAUUUGGAUCCGGAUUGCCGUAAGGACCCAUGCCACCCAUGCCACCCAUGCCACCCAUGCCACCCAUACCAUAACCACCAUAAGAGCUUCCCA